AUGUGGCUACUCAGCAUCUGGGGUGUUUGGGGAUCAAUGCUAAUAGACCUGAGUUAUGAAAAUUCUGUCACUCAGUCACUUUCCUCAGAUGUUCAUCCAGAAGGCGAGGUGGUGACUCUAAAUUGUACCUAUGAUACAACAUUGAGCUCCUACAGGUUAUAUUGGUACCGACGAUGUCCAGGCACGCAACCUGAAUAUAUAAUGAGGAAAAGUACUACUGGUAAUGAGAAAAAAGCAGAUUUUGCUAAAAGUCGCUUCUCUAUAGAACUUCAGAUCUCGAAGAAAUUCACCAGUUUGACUAUCACCGGUAUCCAUCUGACUGACACUGCUGUGUAUUACUGCGCGCUUCAGCACACAGUCGUGAUAAACAGCCUUUACCCCGACAUGAAGAUGGAGGUACGAUUAACAUUGAUUAUCCUCAUGCUCCUGAUUGGAAAUCAACUGGAUGAGUUACAGAUCAGUGCCUCUUGUGUGUCUCUGAGGAUCUACUGA